rnacentral:lncRNA from 1 species
CAAUAUAUUCUCUCGGUUUCUCUUUGUUUCUGCGUUGUUAUCUAUGGAUUGUGGGGUCGAAAUGCAGCGGAGUCCAGUGCUAGGUCUUUCGCCCAGCUUCAACAGCUACAACUCCGGCAGGCUUGCUGAGAUUGCUGCCAGGAUUAUUGAAGAGUUGGGAGAGUCGGAGUUUCAAACCGAAAUUGAAGCUGGAAAUGAUCUUGAGGAAUCCAUUCCUUCUUUGCAAGUUAAAGAAGGUGAUGAGGAAUCCGCUCUUUUCUCCGAAGUUAAAAGUGGAAAUGAUGAUGAAGAAGUGAAAGAGGAUGAGGUCGAUAAUGAUGGUGAUGAUGAUUCAGAGUUUGCUUUUGUGUGGAGGGAGCCGGAGACAUCGCCGAUUUCGGCGG